AUUGAACGCUGGCGGCAGGCCUAACCCAUGCAAGUCGAACGGUAACAGGGAUCAGCUUGCUGAUUCGCUGACGAGUGGCGGACGGGUGAGUAAUGUCUGGGAAACUGCCUGAUGGAGGGGGAUAACUACUGGAAACGGUAGCUAAUACCGCAUAACGUCGCAAGACCAAAGAGGGGGACCUUCGGGCCUCUUGCCAUCGGAUGUGCCCAGAUGGGAUUAGCUAGUAGGUGGGGUAACGGCUCACCUAGGCGACGAUCCCUAGCUGGUCUGAGAGGAUGACCAGCCACACUGGAACUGAGACACGGUCCAGACUCCUACGGGAGGCAGCAGUGGGGAAUAUUGCACAAUGGGCGCAAGCCUGAUGCAGCCAUGCCGCGUGUAUGAAGAAGGCCUUCGGGUUGUAAAGUACUUUCAGCGGGGAGGAAGGGAGUAAAGUUAAUACCUUUGCUCAUUGACGUUACCCGCAGAAGAAGCACCGGCUAACUCCGUG
rnacentral:rRNA from 1 species